UUUAAAUUAAAAUAUUACAGAGAAAAUACUUCUGAAACAUAUUUAUAUGCAUUUCUAUAUGCAUACAUUUCUAUAUGCUACAUUUUCACGCAAAUUAUAUUUGGGUAAGAUGGAAGAUCAAUUGAUACUUAUCUGUACAAUGCAAGUAGCUAGAAUUGUACAUUGUAUGGAAGGCAAAAAGAGCAAGCGUUAGAGAAACCGACAAUGAGGGGUACGUUCUCCCAUAGAGGAGAAACAUCCAGAGUAUGGCGACUUCUCAACUCUAUUUUCGGAAUUAAAAAAAGAUCUGAAUCUCUUCUUCCGAUACACAAAAAUGGAUAUUUCUUCAUUUUAUGAACUGUUUUGACUGAUGGGACUGUAUUUGAAAAAAAGAAGUAUAAGAUCAUUGACAUAUCCAAAAUAGUAUCUCCACAAUAACAUUGAGAUAUAUUUCCGUUUCAAUUAUUAAAUUUAAUUUAUUUAAUUAUUUAUCAUUUAAUUAUAUUUCAACAAUAAGCUAAUAAUUAAUAUAAUGUAUUAAUUUGUUACAGAUAUUUGGCAAUCGGAGACCAAAAUGCUGUCUAUGGCUCUAGCUUACAGAGGCCACUGUUCAUAUGAUUGUUAAAGAAAAUGUUUUAAUGCCAAUCUAUAUGAAACGUCCGAAAAAAAUUGAAUGGAAAGAGAUCUGUUUAGAUUUUUUAAGAUUGUAUAAUUUGCUAAAUUGUAUUAGAGCGAUUGAUAGUAAGCACAUAACGAUUCAGGCAUUUCUGAACUCUGAAUCUGUAUAUUUCAAUUCUAAGAAGACAUUUAGCUUCGUAUUGAUGCCAGGUAUAAAUUUACGCUGUUCGCUGUAGAUGCAUAUGGUAACGAUAAUAAUAGAAAAAUUUUGUCGAAAUUGACCUUCGGAAAAGCAGUGUACGGAGAUAUAUUGAAUUUACCAAGAGAGACAAGUUCGUCGCCCAGAAAAUGAUCAGAAAAUACCUUCCUAUAUUUUGCUAGCGACGAAGCCUUUCAAAUGUCUGUUAAUGUGACCUUAUCACCUUAUCAUGGCUAGAUGGAGAAUAUUCCGAAGACCAAUCAUGCUAAUCCUGAUAUCGUGAUAGUAAUAAACUUGUGCUAGCAGUAUUGUAUUUGCACAAUUUUUUGAAAACGGAAGAUAAUCGAUGAGCGAGUACCGCAGGAGUAAAAAUAUUGUUCUCCUCAAUUAAUAGAUAGAUCAACGGAAUAGAAGAAAUAAUCUAAGGAGAAUGGCGAUUACAAUUGCAAAGUGAUCAUAUACAUAAAAUUGGAAAUUGCG